rnacentral:rRNA from 1 species
GGACUCUCGAACUUGGCCGGCCACGGUUUCGUGUGUUAGUGCUUUGUUCGGCGUCCAUCCUUCCAAUCGCUCCUGGCUAUUCUUCAUUGAUUGGUCAGGGGUAUUGGAUCUUUUACUUUGAAAAAAUUAGAGUGUUUCAAGCAGGCUUUAUGCUAUGAAUACAUUAGCAUGGAAUAAUAAUUUAGGACUUCUGUUCUAUUUUGUUGGUUUCUAGGACUGAAGUA